rnacentral:rRNA from 1 species
AGGGAAUAUUGGACAAUGGGCGCAAGCCUGAUCCAGCCAUGCCGCGUGAGUGAAGAAGGCCCUCGGGUUGUAAAGCUCUUUUGUCCGGAAAGAAAAGCAUUCGGUUAAUACCCGGGUGUUCUGACGGUACCGGAAGAAUAAGCACCGGCUAACUUCGUGCCAGCAGCCGCGGUAAUACGAAGGGUGCAAGCGUUACUCGGAAUUACUGGGCGUAAAGCGUGCGUAGGUGGUUUGUUAAGUCUGAUGUGAAAGCCCUGGGCUCAACCUGGGAAUGGCACUGGAUACUGGCAAGCUAGAGUGUGGCAGAGGGUAGUGGAAUUCCUGGUGUAGCAGUGAAAUGCGUAGAGAUCAGGAGGAACAUCCGUGGCGAAGGCGACUGCCUGGGCCAACACUGACACUGAGGCACGAAAGCGUGGGGAGCAAAC